AGAGUUUGAUCAUGGCUCAGAACGAACGCUGGCGGCAUGCCUAACACAUGCAAGUCGAACGAAGGCUUCGGCCUUAGUGGCGCACGGGUGAGUAACACGUGGGAACCUGCCUUUCGGUUCGGAAUAACGUCUGGAAACGGACGCUAACACCGGAUACGUCCUUCGGGAGAAAGUUUACGCCAAGAGAGGGGCCCGCGUCGGAUUAGGUAGUUGGUGUGGUAACGGCGCACCAAGCCGACGAUCCGUAGCUGGUCUGAGAGGAUGAUCAGCCACACUGGGACUGAGACACGGCCCAGACUCCUACGGGAGGCAGCAGUGGGGAAUAUUGGACAAUGGGCGCAAGCCUGAUCCAGCAAUGGCCGCGUGAGUGAUGAAGGCCUUAGGGUUGUAAAGCUCUUUCGCACGCGACGAUGAUGACGGUAGCGUGAGAAGAAGCCCCGGCUAACUUCGUGCCAGCAGCCGCGGUAAUACGAAGGGGGCUAGCGUUGUUCGGAAUUACUGGGCGUAAAGGGCGCGUAGGCGGCCUGUUUAGUCAGAAGUGAAAGCCCCGGGCUCAACCUGGGAAUAGCUUUUGAUACUGGCAGGCUUGAGUUCCGGAGAGGAUGGUGGAAUUCCCAGUGUAGAGGUGAAAUUCGUAGAUAUUGGGAAGAACACCGGU
rnacentral:rRNA from 1 species